rnacentral:misc_RNA from 1 species
AAGUCGUAACAAGGUUUCCGUAGGUGAACCUGCGGAAGGAUCAUUAACAAAUCUUUUGCGAGUGCUACGCUUGCGUGGCCUCACAACAUUAGCACAAGGUCGCAAGGCCUUGAUGUUUACGCUUGUUUGUUUGACAGAGUUAGUUGAGACAAAAAAAGACAA